ACUAAACAACCAUUUAGAAGCUGCUAUUCACGAAGCUAUGAGUGAGCUGGACAAAAUGUCUGCCAAUGUAAGUUAGUGUUUCUUUAAAAAAAUAAACGCUUUAUGAUUAAAGGGUCACCACUUGCCCCCUCUCUUUUUUUCAACUUUAGCCCAUCCAUUAUAACUGCAGCACUUAUAGCAAGUAACUUGUACAGAAUCUUUCAUAAUUCAAGCACCAGGGUAGGUGUGGCUAGGGCUGCAUAAACAGAAACAAAAGUGAUUUAACUCCUAAAUGGCAGACAGUUGAGCGGUGAAACUUCAGAGGCAUGAUCUAUAUGUAAAAAGUCCUUCAUUAAGCUUAACUAGAGAUCCUCCAAGUUAAUUGUUAUACCUGCACCUUAUGUAUUUUCAUUAAUUGUAUGUCCUAUAUAUCCUAUAUAUAUUGCAUCUGUUAUGGUGGUAGUUUGAUUAAAAACCUCAGUUGAGGUUGAAACAAAGUUGUGUAUCUUCAAAAAAAUCUGCCUGCCACUUUACCUGAGUCCCUCUUUUGUAAGGAGAAAGUCAGUCCUCUUCAUCUCUUACAUAUUAACUUUUGACAGUGCAGCUGUUGUGCUCUGUCUCCAUGAUGCUCCAUUGUCAAUGAAUUCUUGUGACCUGCACUGUCUGAUUAGCCAACAUUGAUUAUCGGUUGCGUUGCAUGGCUACAUAAAAACAUGAAAUAGGUUGCAGUUUUUAUCUGUGCUUCUUAAUUAAUACUGGGUUCUAGUGCAGUUUUUCUGUGCAUGUAUUCUAAGUAUCCACAGGUGAUAUAGAACAAUGGUUCUUAAAUUAGUUCUCAAGGAACAACUAUGGUUCGGUAUCCCACUACUAAAAUAUGCUUACUGUAAAGAACCCUUUCUUUUGGUGUGUGUGUGUGUGUGUUAGUUUAGUUAGUUAAAGAGUAUUUGGGCUACUGUUUCUGCUUGCAGUGUUAAGUAGCACUUCACUAAUUAUCUGGUUUAUUUGUCAUUUUAGGUGCAUCAGAUUCCACAGAGAGACCGACAGUUAAAGCCUCCGAAACCGAAGAGGAGAAAAAUAUCUAGAUAGCAUUGAAUGUCUUUAAUAACGGUUGAGAACAUGCACAUAUAUCUGUAUAUAGGCAUUAAUAUUAAUAUAUGUAUAUCAAUAUUUCUAUGAUGAUAGAUAUCACCACCUGGUGUAAAGUGAAAACAGUGGUAAAUAUUUUUGCAUUUAGGCAGUUGGUUUUCAACCCAUUGCGGUCUUUGAAAGAAAUCAUACUUGUGCGAUAGAAUGAAGAAUUAUUUUUUUUUUCUAUGAUGCGACAAUUGUGAUUUAAAAAAUUGGAGAAAAAAAUGUUCAAAAUGUUUCUGAUACAGUUUCAUUUUCAAUGUGUG